UACGUAGGGGGCAAGCGUUGUCCGGAAUCAUUGGGCGUAAAGAGCGCGUAGGCGGUCCGGUAAGUCCGCUGUGAAAGUCAGGGGCUCAACCCUUGAAUGCCGGUGGAUACUGUCGGGCUAGAGUCCGGAAGAGGCGAGUGGAAUUCCUGGUGUAGCGGUGAAAUGCGCAGAUAUCAGGAGGAACACCGAUGGCGAAGGCAGCUCGCUGGGACGGUACUGACGCUGAGGCGCGAAAGCGUGGGGAGCAAACAGG
rnacentral:rRNA from 1 species